GGGAUCAUUACCGAGUUUACAACUCCCAAACCCAUGUGAACAUACCUAUUGUUGCUUCGGCGGGAUUGCCCCGGGCGCCUCGCGUGCCCCGGAUCAGGCGCCCGCCUAGGAACUUUAACUCUUGUUUUAUUUUGAAUCUUCUGAGUAGUUUUUACAAAUAAAUAAAAACUUUCAACAACGGAUCUCUUGGUUCUGGCAUCGAUGAAGAACGCAGCGAAAUGCGAUAAGUAAUGUGAAUUGCAGAAUUCAGUGAAUCAUCGAAUCUUUGAACGCACAUUGCGCCCGCCAGUAUUCUGGCGGGCAUGCCUGUCUGAGCGUCAUUUCAACCCUCAUGCCCCUAGGGCGUGGUGUUGGGGAUCGGCCAAAGCCCGCAAGGGACGGCCGGCCCCUAAAUCUAGUGGCGGACCCGUCGUGGCCUCCUCUGCGAAGUAGUGAUAUUCCGCAUCGGAGAGCGAUGAGCCCCUGCCGUUAAACCCCCAACUUUCCAAGGUUGACCUCAGAUCAGGUAGGAAUACCCG
rnacentral:rRNA from 1 species